UACAGAGGUCCCGAGCGUUGUUCGGAAUUACUGGGCGUAAAGGGCUCGUAGGCGGCCAACUAAGUCAGACGUGAAAUCCCUCGGCUUAACCGGGGAACUGCGUCUGAUACUGGAUGGCUUGAGUGUGGGAGAGGGAUGCGGAAUUCCAGGUGUAGCGGUGAAAUGCGUAGAUAUCUGGAGGAACACCGGUGGCGAAGGCGGCAUCCUGGACCAUUACUGACGCUGAUGAGCGAAAGCCAGGGGAGCAAACGGG
rnacentral:rRNA from 1 species